CCUACGGGAGGCAGCAGUUGGGAAUCUUGGACAAUGGGGGAAACCCUGAUCCAGCCAUGCCGCGUGAGUGAUGAAGGCCUUCGGGUUGUAAAACUCUUUCGCGCACGACGCGGUAGUGCGAGAAGAAGCUCCGGCUAACUUCGUGCCAGCAGCCGCGGUAAUACGAAGGGGGCUAGCGUUGUUCGGAAUUACUGGGCGUAAAGCGCGCGCAGGCGGUCUUCCAAGUCAGUGGUGAAAGCCCGGAGCUCAACUCCGGAACUGCCAUUGAAACUGUGAGACUUGAGUAUGAGAGAGGUGAGUGGAAUUCCCAGUGUAGAGGUGAAAUUCGUAGAUAUUGGGAAGAACACCGGUGGCGAAGGCGGCUCACUGGCUCAUCUGACGCUCAGGCGCGACAGCGUGGGGAUCAAACAGGAUUAGAUACCCUUGUAGUC
rnacentral:rRNA from 1 species